GGACCGGAAGUCCGGAAGUCCGGCCGUCCCGGCAGGCCUUGCGAGCCCCGUGUCUGGACUGAACCACAGAGAGGAAGCGUCCUGGGCUCCAUCGUGACAUGGUGGGAAUCCGGGCCUAUUUGGCUCCGCGGAAGAGCCCGCUCACUGAUGCGCGCUUUCCGAAGCAGAGGACUUCAAAACUCUCCGGGUCACUUGCGCCCCAAGCCUGGGUGGCUGCAGACUUUACGUUAUCAGGCGCUUCGGGGUCAAAGGAAAGAGAAUCAAAGGCCUUUAAAACAAAGUCUUUGGGGACAUCUCUAAACGUUUUUAGUAGUGUAUAAGCAGCUAACAAGCAAUCCUCCUCAGUGAAACGAAUUGAUUAAUUAAGCAGUCUGAAGGAAUUUAUUUGAGAACUUCAGGCAGACAUUCAAGAUCGGAUCGGCCUCUGAUGACCCAC